rnacentral:misc_RNA from 1 species
GAUGAAGAACGUAGCGAAAUGCGAUAAGUAAUGUGAAUUGCAGAAUUCAGUGAAUCAUCGAAUCUUUGAACGCACAUUGCGCCCCUUGGUAUUCCGAGGGGCAUGCCUGUUCGAGCGUCAUUAUAACCCCUCAAGCUCAGCUUGGUGUUGGGGCCUGCUGCACUGGCAGCCCUUAAAAUCAGUGGCGGCGCCAUCUGGCUCUAAGCGUAGUAAUUCUUCUCGCUAUGCAGUCCUGGUGGAUGCUUGCCAUCAACCCCCAAUUUUUCUAUGGUUGACCUCGGAUCAGGUAGGGAUACCCGCUGAACUUAAGCAUAUCAAUAAGCGGAGGA